AUGUACGUCAGUAUAUGGGGAUGUUUCCCACACAUUCAACGGCGUGUUUACAGGAAAAACGAAAGGGGAGAUAAAAUCCCCCCUUUUUUGGCUAACU
rfam:Salmonella enterica subsp. enterica serovar Typhimurium str. LT2, complete genome.